AAAAAGGGGGGGGGGGGUGAUCCUGGCUCAGGAUGAACGCUGGCGGCGUGCUUAACACAUGCAAGUCGAACGAACCUUCGGGUUAGUGGCGGACGGGUGAGUAACGCGUGAGAAUCUGCCCUCAGGAGGGGGAUAACGGCUGGAAACGGCCGCUAAUACCCCAUAUGCCGAGAGGUGAAACGAGUUUUCGCCUGAGGAUGAGCUCGCGUCUGAUUAGCUAGUUGGUGAGGUAAUAGCUCACCAAGGCAUCGAUCAGUAGCUGGUCUGAGAGGAUGAUCAGCCACACUGGGACUGAGACACGGCCCAGACUCCUACGGGAGGCAGCAGUGGGGAAUUUUCCGCAAUGGGCGAAAGCCUGACGGAGCAACGCCGCGUGAGGGAUGAAGGCCUCUGGGCUGUAAACCUCUUUUCUCAAGGAAGAAGACCUGACGGUACUUGAGGAAUAAGCCACGGCUAAUUCCGUGCCAGCAGCCGCGGUAAUACGGGAGUGGCAAGCGUUAUCCGGAAUUAUUGGGCGUAAAGCGUCCGCAGGCGGCCUUUUAAGUCUGUUGUCAAAGCGUGGAGCUUAACUCCAUUUCGGCAAUGGAAACUGGGAGGCUUGAGUGUGGUAGGGGCAGAGGGAAUUCCCGGUGUAGCGGUGAAAUGCGUAGAUAUCGGGAAGAACACCAGUGGCGAAGGCGCUCUGCUGGGCCAUAACUGACGCUCAUGGACGAAAGCCAGGGGAGCGAAAGGGAUUAGAUACCCCUGUAGUCCUGGCCGUAAACGAUGAACACUAGGUGUCGGGGGAAUCGACCCCCUCGGUGUCGUAGCCAACGCGUUAAGUGUUCCGCCUGGGGAGUACGCACGCAAGUGUGAAACUCAAAGGAAUUGACGGGGGCCCGCACAAGCGGUGGAGUAUGUGGUUUAAUUCGAUGCAACGCGAAGAACCUUACCAGGGUUUGACAUCCUGCGAAUCCCUUGGAAACUUGGGAGUGCCUUCGGGAGCGCAGAGACAGGUGGUGCAUGGCUGUCGUCAGCUCGUGUCGUGAGAUGUUGGGUUAAGUCCCGCAACGAGCGCAACCCACGUCUUUAGUUGCCAGCAUUGAGUUGGGCACUCUAGAGAGACCGCCGGUGAUAAACCGGAGGAAGGUGUGGAUGACGUCAAGUCAUCAUGCCCCUUACAUCCUGGGCUACACACGUACUACAAUGCUACGGACAAAGGGCAGCAAACUCGCGAGAGCUAGCAAAUCCCAUAAACCGUGGCUCAGUUCAGAUCGUAGGCUGCAACUCGCCUACGUGAAGGAGGAAUCGCUAGUAAUCGCAGGUCAGCAUACUGCGGUGAAUACGUUCCCGGGCCUUGUACACACCGCCCGUCACACCAUGGAAGUUGGCCACGCCCGAAGCCGUUACUCCAACCCUUGUGGAGGAGGACGUCGAAGGUGGGGCUGAUGACUGGGGUGAAGUCGUAACAAGGUAGCCGUACCGGAAGGUGCGGCUGGAUCACCUCCUAACAGGGAGACAAACCUAAUCGUGAUGUCUGAGUAAAUUUAAUCUCAGGCCAUGAUUCUGUCACCUUAGGUCGAUCGGUACCUCAAGGAGCGGAAGGGAGAACCUGAGCAAUCAGGGGAGACCACUUUUGCUUUUUCAGUUUCUAAACGUUGUCUAGGUCACCCCAUAGCUCCUGGGCCAUUAGCUCAGGUGGUUAGAGCGCACCCCUGAUAAGGGUGAGGUCCCUGGUUCAAGUCCAGGAUGGCCCAUGCACCGCCUGCAAAGCAGGCAGGACUUGCUGGCUGGGGGUUUAGCUCAGUUGGUAGAGCGCCUGCUUUGCAAGCAGGAUGUCAGCGGUUCGAGUCCGCUAACCUCCAUAUCAACGGAGAAACCCACAAGCGCAAGCAAGUGAGCUGAGCGGGAGUGAACCAGACAGGGAAGGAGAGGAGCUGAGGAUGACUCCAGCCUUCAGGAUGUGAGCGCAAUGUAGCGCACAUGUUCAUGUCGUGUCGUCGUGACUCGAUAUGAAUGAAGAGAUCUUGAAUGCUGGACUCACAGCUGUCAACGCAAGUUGGCAGCUGAGAUGUUCAGCGAAGAACCUUGACAACUGCAUAGGUGAGUCUGGAAAGAAAGCAUCUCAUGGAUGUCCAGUGAAAGCUGGAGGUUCUAUUGAGUUUAGAGCCGAGACUUUCCAGUGUUCUUCCAAGUAUCUGGCCAAUCCAGCUGGGGAAAGGGAGUUUGAUUGUGGCAUUCAAACCACGAGCCACUUCACUGAGGAGCUACCAAAAGUAGCGAUUCGAGGAGGUGAGUGAGCAGGUGAAUCCGCGAGAAUAGGCCUCAACAGCCUGAAGCACUGGGAAGGAAAUUGGUCAAGCUACAAAGGGCUCACGGUGGAUACCUUGGCACACAGAGGCGAUGAAGGACGUGGUUACCUGCGAUAAGUCUCGGGGAGCUGGAAACACGCUUUGAUCCGGGAAUUUCCGAAUGGGGCAACCCCUAGAACGGCCGCCUGAAUCCAUAGGGCGGCGCGAGCCAACCCAGCGAACUGAAACAUCUUAGUAGCUGGAGGAAAGGAAAGUAAAAACGACUCCCUCAGUAGCGGCGAGCGAACGGGGAAGAGCCUAAACCGAUGGAUUCGUCCAUCGGGGUUGUGGGACAGCAACGUGGACCAGGGACGUUAGGAGAAGCGUUUGAAUGGCGCGCCACAGAGGGUGAAAGCCCCGUAACCGAAAGCGAAACUGGCCUAGCUGUAUCCCGAGUAGCACGGAGCACGUGAAAUUCCGUGUGAAUCCGCGAGGACCACCUCGUAAGGCUAAGUACUCCUGUGUGACCGAUAGCGCAACAGUACCGCGAGGGAAAGGUGAAAAGAACCCCGGGAGGGGAGUGAAAGAGAACAUGAAACCGUGAGCUACAAGCAA
rnacentral:rRNA from 1 species